rnacentral:lncRNA from 1 species
UUAUGCGCAGGGGCAAAGACCCCUAUUGCAGGCUUCAAAGUUACUAUUUAUAGACUACAUUAUUAGUUGGUUGAAAGUAGUUGGGGGGAGUGGUUGUAACCAUGAUCGUGGAAGUUAUGCUAACUUCUUAUGGAAGUUAUGCUAACUCCUCAUGGAAGUUACGCCCCAAUCUUCAACCAUUCCCGCCUUCUUGUCCUUCAGGCGCCUUAUUACCGACUCCUGGUGUACCACGUGUCCUUAUUGGCUCAUACGUGGGUUAGGUCGGCUCAAUUUUGGUAUCAACAAUAAGAAAAAAAAAAAAAGAAUUUGAAUUGAAAAAAGAAUAGGAAGAUGUGAGGACUGAGAUUUUUAUGGUAUAAUUUGAUGCUUUUCAGUUAUAUUUUUAUAGUUAUUUUAAUUUUGAAAUUACUAGUUUAAUUUCAAAUAAAAAUGAGUUUUUAUUAAAGGCGU